rnacentral:lncRNA from 1 species
CCAGUAUGGGAACUCCUCAAACUUGAAGCAGCAGCUGUGAAGGUCAGGAAGAUGAAUUAACUUCCUUGUCAAGACUAGAGUUAUUGGAUGUUCUCUUUUUAUUAAUAUUAUUGCUUUUAUUUGUCCUAAAUUUCCCAGGCAUCUGAGACAAACAAUGUGCCUAUGCCAUGGAUUUGAAUAUUAAAGGGUUCCUUCUGUAUUGGAAUAGUAACUGGAAGAACAACCAAAUUCCUAUCGAAUGUGGACACACAGAGAGAAACAGCCAUAUCUCUCUGUGCAUGCCUGGGUAGCAGCCUUGCGGUGCUGUGCUGCCAGCUCACAUCUGGAGUAGUUCAUCACUGCCGAACAGAUGUUGGUGUGAAUUGGGUCAUCGUAGCAGCAGAGCAUGCACACAUUUCUUUGGUCUUGCAGUGACAGCCAUUACAUUUUCUUCAUGCUAAUUUUGACAGUGACACCCUGCUCUGAAAUAUGAAUGCAUUCAUUGCAGUGAGGUUUGGAAUCAAGGGGUAAAAAUCAGACUAGCUCUGGAGGAUUUACAAAAGGCUACCUUCUUGUUCACAUCAUCCUCUUGAAUUUCAGGUGUGGAAUAGAGCAAAGCAAGUGUAAGGAGAUGUGGGUUCUAAUGUAGACAUUGUUGAGACUUCCUGGUUAUAGAUAGCAGGAAGGGUGCUAAUUCAUAGGGGAAUACCAGUUCUCUGAAAGAAGUCACUCUUGUAAGAAAAAUGGACAGCAGGAGGCCACUGAGCAGUGACAUUCAAUGAGUCCUUGUCACCAGCAGUCAUUAGCAUGCAAGCCUGCUGUUAGUUUUCUGUGUUUUAUGUUAUGGUCUUGACCAAGCAGGAGCUCCCGGAACAAGAACAGCAGUUAAUAUCACACACAAGUUAUUAUUUCUUUCUGGGAUGCCUUAUAUUUUUAGUGCCAGUGAGAUCCUUCUCUUGUCCCUGUGUGCCUCUAAAAAUUUAAAGAGAAUCAAAGAAUGCAUAAUUUACAUCUGUCCCAGAGGUAACAGAGUGACUCAAUGGUAUCCAUGAAGGAAUGAUUUUAAAUUUCUUGUCUUAUGCAAGAGGUGAUUUUUAUGUGAAAACUGCAAGAACUGGCCUCAGGGAUCUUUUGGUAAUUAUCCCUCUAACAGCAGAGCGAGGUUCCAGCGGGAUUAUUGCUGAAAGCAGUAGUGGAUCAGCUAUGCCCUUGUGAAUCAUGGUGAAUCAUGGUUGCCACAACGGAGCACAUAGCAACGGAUGCCCUGCACAGAGCACUUCUCCCUUUAACACUCCUGAGAGCCCCAGUGGCGCCUGUGUGUCCCAAAUGGCAGGGCACUCAAUGAUGAAGCCAGUGAAUCUGUUAGUCCUUGAGCCAUGGGUGUCAUGACUCCCCUCUGCUGCUUGCAUUGUGCCGGAGACUCCUCACCCAAACCCCUGGGUAUAUGGGAUGCUGGAUUUGGAAAGGCCUUACUGCUUCCAAGAGAAGAGAUGAUGGAAUUAUAUGCUGUUAUUAGCUUUCUUAAAAAAAAUAUGUGUGCUUUGUUCUUUGAGCCAAUCUAGUCUUUUAGCAAGUGCUUUUAAGCAUUCCAUGGCAAUUGUUUUGUUCUCUGAAAAUAUUAAGUGCCAAGGAACAAAACCAUAUAGGCUAGUGGGGGACAGGACUAAGUGGCAAAGGGCUAGUAGACCUGGGAAGAAGUACAUUUGAGCUGGAUUUCUCUGCUGCCUCUUGUUUAUCAGUGUGCAUUGCAUACAUGUGGACCCGUGCACUUUUGUUUCCGUAUGGCAGUCUUUAUUUCUCAUCAGAGAAGGCUCUUUUUAAGCCUGUCAUCGCACAGUACGUGGAGUGCUUUCAGGGCCCUCUGUUCUCUUUUCCCCUGGGAUGAGUCUCCCCCCACCUUCCUCUCCCCAGUAUGCCUGUGUGCACAAAGCAAAGGCCGAUUGAGAGAUUCGCCACUGCAAACUCUUCAUCUCCCAAGCAAGGACUGGAG